GGCCGUAUGGUCUAGUCGUAUGAUUCUCGCUUUGGGUGCGAGAGGUCCUGGGUUCAAUUCCCAGUGCGGCCC